rnacentral:rRNA from 1 species
GGCGAACGCUGGCGGCAGGCUUAACACAUGCAAGUCGAGCGGGCGUAGCAAUACGUCAGCGGCAGACGGGUGAGUAACGCGUGGGAACGUACCUUUUGGUUCGGAACAACACAGGGAAACUUGUGCUAAUACCGGAUAAGCCCUUACGGGGAAAGAUUUAUCGCCGAAAGAUCGGCCCGCGUCUGAUUAGCUAGUUGGUGAGGUAACGGCUCACCAAGGCGACGAUCAGUAGCUGGUCUGAGAGGAUGAUCAGCCACAUUGGGACUGAGACACGGCCCAAACUCCUACGGGAGGCAGCAGUGGGGAAUAUUGGACAAUGGGGGCAACCCUGAUCCAGCCAUGCCGCGUGAGUGAUGAAGGCCCUAGGGUUGUAAAGCUCUUUUGUGCGGGAAGAUAAUGACGGUACCGCAAGAAUAAGCCCCGGCUAACUUCGUG